UUUAUGUUAUACCCACAACAAUCCUCACAAUGCCAGCCCGCAGUUUCCUCGAGAAAUCAAUCGGAGGUUUCUUCACUUGCGCCUGGCUGAAACGACGAUCCACUCGAUCCUGCUCACCUUGUUUCGAGUUGAAUUGGAACCAAGAGAUGGACAAAUCAGAGUUAUCAAUGAUGUUGUUCCAAAGAAUACAGAAACUAGACCCAAAACAUGUCUCCAAGAUCAUGGGUUAUCUUCUCUUGAAAGAUCAGAGUGAGGUCGACAUGAUCCAUCAUGCCCCUGCCCCGGAUAAUGUAAUCCAGUCCUUGAUCGAAAAUAUCAAGCAAGAGCUUUGCGUGCCUCCAAAACCACCUGUCCCUGCCUAUGUUUUGACUGCUUUGAAUUGUCCUACAAAGUUUUCGCCAUCUUUGCCAUGGUUUCCGGCAUCCUCUGCAGGAUUUUCACAUGAAAUUGCACAGCAGGUCCCUCAAGCUCCGACAGGCCAGCAGCAACAGGUCACGCCACUUGUAAACCAACUUGGAUGCCAUAAAGCUACUGGAUUGAAUUUGAAUGUGCAGAGCUAUGUUCCGCAAGCUGUAAAGCAUCAUCAAGCGUCUUCAUUGGACAUGUACCCUCACUCCUCUGACCAGUUAUCUGCUCCAAUCUGUGAAAACUAUAGUAAGGGUUAUUGUGAGCAUUGUGGCGACUGCAAAUUCCUGCACUUACUCAAAUUACAGAAUGGUAAAUUUAUGAUCAUUAACCAGCCAAAGGGUGUAGCAGAUAAUUCCACUAGUUCGUCCGACAGAUACACCUUGCAGCUUGAGGAACAGUUUGUUGAGAUUCUGAAAAUUAGAAGAGGGAUCCCGGUCCCGCUCUCUUGCUUACCAAUUUUGUAUCAUGACAAAUACUGCAAGAGUCUCCCUGUCCAGGCUUGUAUGAAAGAGCCGCAUAAACUCAGGAAAAUCUGCUGCACACUGACAGAACUUAUUCGUCAAAUGAAGAGCAUUAAAGUGACAGACAAGUGGCACGGGAUGGAAUCUACAAUCUUGGAAGAUGACUUGUCGACAUACCUAAAGUCAAUGAAGAAAGAGAGAGGCAGGGGUCAAGCUUUGCAGGCUACUGCCAAGUUUAUGUGACACUCUCUAUUCGGGCGAAAGAUGUCGAAGAAUAUUUUUCAAGUGAGCGAGAUCAUUAUACUACAUAUCUAUAUUUUGUUUGGGUAUCUAAUGCAGUGCAGGCAUUUGUUGUCCUGUCCUCCUCGGGAAAUUUGGAAAAGUAAAAGAAGUUGGUGUUGGGUUUGGGUUCCUUCUAUGGAGGCCCAACAAUUCAAGUUAGUCCAAAAAGAGUUAAGAGCCCACUUUUGUCAAUUGUUGCCCUAGCCCUCAUAGUUGUGAGAGGGGUCAUUUUGGGCGUAGAGAUUUUGAGAGAGGAACAAUCGGUAUCUACGCACCCGAAAGAAUCGACAAGCAAGAGAGAAUUUCUUCAAGUCGGUUUCGAUCAACGGUCUCAUCAUCCUUGGAUAUUUUUCUUGAAAAAUCGAUGAUAGAAAUCAGAUUCCGCAAAAGCAGUUAUCAUGUAAGUCUCUGGCUUUUUUCUCAAUUUCACGUUUUGGAUUCUUAAUCAUUUGCUUGUUUUAUUUUCGAUUAUAUAUGUGUGUGUCCUUGGUGACUUAGCUGCUUGAACCCUACUUUUGCAUAUAUCUUCACAUCAGUUGAUCAAAUCUUAUCUCUCUAUUUCCGAAAGAAAAGCAAAACAGAGAAAUUAAAUUAGUUAUGGUGAUUCUUGGACAGUGCAGUUGUGAUGUACGAUGGCUCUUCUCUUGUAUAAGGUUAGUCCUCUUGUAUAAGUUCAUUUCAAUUUGACAUUUUCCUAUUGCCGUCGUAGCUUACAUCUCUAUCUCUAUUUCUAUUUCUAUUACUCUCACUAUCACUAUUCUUAUCAUCCAGAAUCAAUAAG